UAGCUGAUUCACAUCCAUUCAGAGGGUUGCGGUCAGUUGUUCGCCGAAAAAGAAAAAAAAAACAAAUUUUUUGAUGUCUCUUGAUCUUCACUCUAAAAACAUCACAUGUUUAUGAAAAGUUAAUAAGAAAUUUGGUCCAAAAAGUUAAUAAAAAAUCUGGUGUGUGGAUACCAGACCCAUUAUAAUUCCGUCAUUCGAACUCACUAAAGGGAUAUUUUAAUUUGUAUAAUAAAAAACAAAUUUUUAUGUCGACAUACAUAAAACGAAAGAUGCACACAACUUCAAAGUAGAAAAAUCUUUAAAAAACUUGUUAAACACAAUGAUGAAGUUGGAACACAAAAGAAACCUGAACUAACAAGGAUAUACAUAUAUGUAAAAAUAUCAGAACCAUACCAAUAUCAGAACCAUACCAAUAGUAAAAAUAUCAGAACCAUACCAACUGU
rnacentral:lncRNA from 1 species